rnacentral:lncRNA from 1 species
CUAGACAUAAUUAGAUUUUAAAGAAGCCAACAUUAACAGACACAGACACAUAUUAAACUAAGAAUGAACAGUAAAGUCCCAGAUUAGAAGGCAUCAUAGCCUAGUGUGUUCUUCAGGUCACUACUGCUGUCUCAAAGUUACCCUUCCCCUCAGUCUCCUGCACUGUUUUAUCAUUUUCAGUGUGUGAUGAGCCUCCUUUUUUCAAUGUAUCUCUAACCAUUCUCUGAGCUCAGAAAUGUAUCUACCUGGAUGUCACCUACUCUAUAAAAUUACCAGUUUUGUGAAAUCACCUACUCUGUGACAUCGCCUGCUCUGUGACAUCACCUACUCCUAGCCUCCCAACAUCCUUCCUGCCUGAAUUCAGUCCCUCACCUCUUGUCUUCAGCUUAUUCACCAGCUCCAGAUUAAUCCUCCCUAAAUGCUCUUCUGAUCUUUGUUAUUUCUUUACUUUUAAGACUUCCAAAGAUCCCCCAUUGCCUAAAGCAGUGUUUUUCAGUUGUGAUCCUUGGAUCGUCUGUAUGGAAAUUGCUUGCCUUCAGGUCUAAAAAAAAAAAAAAAAAAAAAAAAAAAAUCUAAAGGUUCUGGGCAUGAAGCCUGGAAGUCCAGACGGUUAACAAGCAGCACCAUAUUCCCCUCAAGGCUCUGGAACAUACUACACAGAGACCUGCUGGCCUCACCCCGAGAUUCUCAGCCUGGGCUACCCCAGGGGAGUCACAGAUGCAGCUUUAAACAUUUGUAGCUCCUGACUUUCAUGUCUAGACUUUCUGAUUUAGUAGGUGUUGGAUGCAGCCUAGGCACUGGAUUUGAUGGUAGCUAUAGUUAUUGUUCUUGUACUUUUUGUUUUUAAAUCCCCCUACAAGAGCAGCUGAAGAGAUUGUGUUUGCCCUCUGCCACACAUGCACACACACACACUCACACACACACACACACACACACACACACAACCUUCAAAGAUUCAAAGACGAAUUUAUUUAAAGACACCAGAAAAGCCUUAGAAUGGGCAAUUUAGAAUCAGUUGCAGAGGCUCGUGAAGCCUCAACUCUACCCUUAUUCCUAGCUCACGGUGUUCAGUCUCACCUUCAUUUUGUUAUUCAAGAUUGUGAUCAGAGUCUCAGCCUUGGACCCCAAGAAGAAAGGCAGAGGAAGAUGCGGGGCCUUUAAGGAGUUCUAAACAGAGUUUCAUCUAGAACUUCAUAUAAUGGUCACAUAGUCCCUGAACACUCUCUCUGCCUGGUCAAUGUAUGCUUUUCUAUUCUUUUCUUAAAUAAAAUAAAGAUAUUACUAAUUUAAAAAAAAGUCAGAUCGAGGUCAGAAAAUAACUGAAGACUGUCUGUCACAGAACAUAACAUAUUCCCUAGCUUAAUAUUUUACAACUUCUAAAUAUUUUUUAUUCUGUAGUAAUACAGUCGGAGAACUAUAUCCCAUCGAUCUUCAUACGUGGUCUCUGUAUGAAGAGCCAUGUUCAGUCAAAAGGGAAAGUAGCUGCUUUCUGGUCACUUUUCUGAGUAGCAAUAUUGUAAUUCUAGAUUCUAGUCUCAUUCUGGCCUGUCAGACUCCUUCCUGCCCCCCCCCCUUCAAAAGAAAGAUUUUUCUGUCUUUUAGAAACAUAAAAAAGUAUGAAGUUCAGACAACAUUUUUGGAGGGCAGGAAGUUAGGCAAAGUGCCUUUGAAAUGUUCUGAGGAUAAUUUUCACGAGAGAGGAUGUGAAAUAUGAUAAGGCCACGAAGAAAUAUUGGUGAUGGCACUCUCAAGAAGCUAAAGUUUUUAAUACUUUACCUGAUACCGAGUGAGACGCAGAAACAAAAACAAAUCUUUUAAAUCUCCUUUGGUAAAUGCAAGAACUAGGUUUGUUAGACAAUUAGACUAUGAUGAACUGUUACAAAUGGAAGGUGGAAGAAACCAGACAACACAAGAAAGUAGAAGGUCAAAGGUCAAGGUCACGAGUUCAUUAAAGGACAUUAAACUUCAAGUGCAAUGUCUUUUUGUGUGUGUGUGUGGGGGGGGCUUUUUGAGAAAGGGUUUCUCUGUGUAGCCCUGACUGUCCUGCAAUUCACUUUGUAGACCCGGCUGACCUCAAACUCAGAAAUCCGCCUGUCUAGGCGUGCGCCUCCAGUCCCAGCAAGUGCAAUGUCUUAUGUAACAACAUGUAGAGAUAAGUCACAACCACAACCACAUUUACACAAUAAUUCCCUAAAUUAUAACCCAAUGUGUAUGAUAAGCUCUUUGAUGAGAAGACAUUCCCGUCUACCCCAGAAGUCAGGGCCCAUAUCCUUCCAGCCACU